CACCUGUGGUUCCAUUUAAACUCUUCUAUUUGUAGGUAUCAUGCUUUUAACUUGAAGUGCAGCAAGUCCAUCAUGUGCGGGGCCAUCUGACAGGGAGUCUUUGUGCUUUCUGCACGUAGGAGGAAGAUGUGUGAAACACUAACAAGCAAAAUACAGCCAGUGAAACACUAACAAGCAAAAUACAGCAUCUAUAAACACCUGGUAGCAGAAUCAUCCCUUCUGUGGAUACAGCCCUGAGGGAAGGUGGCUAAGGGUCACUCUUAGCCCAGAAAAUCAACUGGCAUCACAGGCAGGCAGCUGCUGAAGUCAGAGGGCCAGAUUCAGCCUGCCUGCUCCCACUUCAUUGCAUCUUGCAUCCCCUUCACUCAGAGAUGAUGCAGGAACCACCAACUAUCCCCUUGGCACCAGAGGAGCUGAUCUCAGGAGGCUGAAUCCCACCAUUUGGCAUAGCUGCUUGUGCCAGGAAGCUCCAGAGUUGAUUUUGGUAUGUGUCACAGACUCCAGCACAGCCCACACAUGAAGGAUCAGGAAUUUGGGCUGUGUGUAUUACCUGGCAGCUUGGUCUUCAGCAACUAGACCUGCUGUCCAUCUCAGGACACAUGGGAUGCUCAGAGCCAACACAGUGGGAGGAACAACUACAGAGAAGACAGAGCAAAGGCUACCCCCAAAUAGCUGCCAACAGGAACUUUGCAACAAAAAGACUCAAUACAUUAAAAUUGCUAAGAAAACACACCUGUAACCUCUAGCAUUCAUGAAAUCAGAGA